rnacentral:tRNA from 1 species
UGGGGAAUAGCUCAGUCAGAGAGCGCAUGGUUGGCAUGUACAAGGGCCUGGGUUCAAUCCCCAGUACCUCCA